rnacentral:tRNA from 1 species
CCUCUAAUAGCUCAGUUGGUAGAGCACUCGUCCAGUUAACGUGAGGUCCCCAGUUCAAUUCUGGGUGGAGGC